GGAGUUAAUGAAGGCACUAGGCAUGUUUCGAAGGACCCAGGUAAAAGCCUUCUUACAUCUUCAGCCCUUUGCUUUAGGGCUGAAGAUAGGACAGAGAGAAGAGUCCUGGGCUGAGUCUUGGAAGGACCUUCUCAAGGCCUUUGCGUUUGUUCUGCUAUUUCCUAAACCUUUCUCUACUGUGCCGAAGGAGUUAAAGGGCUCCGAGCCCUAACCCUCCAUCGGGGAGUGUCUCGGGCACCAGAGAGAAUCUGGCACAGGACAUGUUUUCAUGGAACUGCUUAUCAAAACUAAGCUUCUGCCGUUUCAUUUAGACGGGGUAGAUUGGGUGGAAAACUGGCCCCAGGACCAGGAAAUUUGCCUUCUGUUCCUGCUCACCCGCCGCGUGACCCUGUUGCAGGUUGGAGGCUGAAAGAAAGAAGCACAAAUCUUCCCUGGGCCAAGAGUUUCAUCAUAAGCCCUGUGUGAUCAAUAAGGACAUUGUGGUGGUGAUUUCAUAGCUGAUUAACUUACAUGUCUACAAGCCAACACUUGACUUGAAAGGCUGGUCGGGUCGCUCGCCGUGCGAGCAUGGCCUUUACCAGCCUGCCUGGCAGCCAGCUCUGGGACUGCUCGCUCCUGACCGCAACCUGGGUACGGCCCUGAAGUUUCGUCGAUAUUGCAGAGUCAGCAUCUGGGAAAUCAUUGAUGACAACAGAGCAUCCCAGUCCCGG